rnacentral:rRNA from 1 species
CACGUAGGGGGCGAGCGUUGUUCGGAAUUACUGGGCGUAAAGCGCACGUAGGCGGCUUUGUAAGUUAGAGGUGAAAGCCCGGAGCUCAACUCCGGAAUUGCCUUUAAGACUGCAUCGCUUGAAUCCAGGAGAGGUGAGUGGAAUUCCGAGUGUAGAGGUGAAAUUCGUAGAUAUUCGGAAGAACACCAGUGGCGAAGGCGGCUCACUGGACUGGUAUUGACGCUGAGGUGCGAAAGCGUGGGGAGCAAACAGG